GACGAACCGUGCAAACGUUCUUCGGAAUCACUGGGCAUAAAGGGCGCGUAGGCGGCUUUCUAAGUCAGGGGUGAAAUCCGGCAGCUCAACUGUCGCAGUGCCUUUGAUACUGGAGAGCUCGAGGGAGGUAGGGGUCUGUGGAACUUCCGGUGGAGCGGUGAAAUGCGUUGAUAUCGGAAGGAACGCCGGUGGCGAAAGCGACGGACUGGAUCUCUUCUGACGCUGAGGCGCGAAAGCCAGGGGAGCAAACGGG
rnacentral:rRNA from 1 species